AACGAACGCUGGCGGCAUGCCUAACACAUGCAAGUCGAACGAAGUCCUACGGGACUUAGUGGCGCACGGGUGCGUAAUGCGUGGGAAUCUGCCCAUGGCUUCGGAAUAACAGUUAGAAAUGACUGCUAAUACCGGAGUAUGUCGCCUACAGAGCUUUUGGGGAUCAACGAUUUAUCGGCCAGGGAUGGGCUCGCGUAGGAUUAGGUAGUUGGUGGGGUAAAGGCCUACCAAGCCGACGAACCUUAGCUGGUCUGAGAGGAUGAUCAGCCACACUGGGACUGAGAAACGGCCCAGACUGCUACGGGAGGCAGCAGUGGGGAAUAUUGGGCAAUGGAGGAAACCCUGAUCCAGCAAUGCCGCGUGAGUGAUGAAGGCCUUAGGGUUGUAAAGCUCUUUUACCCGGGAUGAUAAUGACAGUACCGGGAGAAUAAGCUCCGGCUAACUCCGUGCCAGCCGCCGCAGUAAAGC
rnacentral:rRNA from 1 species